CAGAGUAGAAGCCGGUGCGUAAAGUGUUUCGCGGACGGGGAGUUGCCGCGAAAACGAAGGUAUACAACUGCGGUGCCGGUUUCGCAUCCCGCUGU
rnacentral:ncRNA from 1 species